GCAAACUUGGUCAUUUAGAGGAAGUAAAAGUCGUAACAAGGUUUCCGUAGGUGAACCUGCGGAAGGAUCAUUAACGAGAUCAUGCCCUCACGGGUAGACCUCCCACCCUUGAAUACUAUACCUUCGUUGCUUUGGCGGGCCGCCGAUGGCCACCGGCUCCGGCUGGUGAGCGCCCGCCAGAGGACCCAAAACUCUGCAUCAUGUGUCGUCUGAGUACUAUACAAUAGUUAAAACUUUCAACAACGGAUCUCUUGGUUCUGGCAUCGAUGAAGAACGCAGC
rnacentral:misc_RNA from 1 species